rnacentral:rRNA from 1 species
UACGGGGGGGGCAAGCGUUGUUCGGAAUUACUGGGCGUAAAGGGCUCGUAGGCGGCCAACUAAGUCAGACGUGAAAUCCCCAGGCUCAACCUGGGAACUGCGUCUGAUACUGGAUGGCUUGAAUUCGGGAGAGGGAUGCAGAAUUCCAGGUGUAGCGGUGAAAUGCGUAGAUAUCGUAAGGAAGACCAGUGGCGAAGGCGAGUCUCUGGACAGUUACUGACGCUGAGGCACGAAGGCCAGGGGAGCAAACGGG